UUGAAAACACCGGUUCUCGUCUGAUCUGCGAAGUUAAGCAACAUCGUGCCUGCUCAGUAUCUAGAUGGGUGACCGUUUGGGAAUACUGGGUGUCGUCA